rnacentral:rRNA from 1 species
UACGAAGGGGGCUAGCGUUGCUCGGAAUCACUGGGCGUAAAGCGCACGUAGGCGGCUUUCUAAGUCAGGGGUGAAAUCCUGGAGCUCAACUCCAGAACUGCCUUUGAUACUGAAGAUCUUGAGUUCGGGAGAGGUGAGUGGAACUGCGAGUGUAGAGGUGAAAUUCGUAGAUAUUCGCAAGAACACCGGUGGCGAAGGCGGCUCACUGGCCCGAUACUGACGCUGAUGCACGAAAGCGUGGGGAGCAAACAGG